rnacentral:rRNA from 1 species
ACGGGGGGUGCAAGCGUUGUUCGGAAUCAUUGGGCGUAAAGCGCGUGUAGGCGGCUUGACAAGUCAGAUGUGAAAUCCCUGGGCUUAACCCAGGAAGUGCAUUUGAAACUGUCUAGCUUGAGUAAGGGAGAGGAAAGUGGAAUUCCUGGUGUAGAGGUGAAAUUCGUAGAUAUGAGGAGGAACACCGUUGGCGAAGGCGACUUUCUGGACUUAUACUGACGCUCAGGCGCGAAAGCGUGGGUAGCAAACAG